CAGAUGAGGGGAACAGGAGAGUACUGUCUCAGAGGUGAACACUUUCAAUCCUACAGAAGGCACUGCCAGAUCUUCCAUCAUGUAACAAGGGCAUCUUGGCUUUGUUCGGCCUAUUUAAAACUGGUUGUUAAGUUCAGAGCAUGUUAUCGGUGGCACUGAUCUCUCAAAAGGAACCUGAUGAUGACUCAAUAAAACUUGAAGAAAGGACAGCCCAAUGGAAAAAGAGACUGGCUAAAUAGGCCUUGCUUACUAGUGUAUCAUGUACCAGGUCUGCAAAUAUUUUAUUUAAACCA